GUGUGUUCCCUCAUAUUUUUUUUUUAUUUUUAGAUUUUUUUUCUGCAAUCAUGUCGGCAGAUGAAAUUAUUAAACGUACAAUUCUGAACAAUCAUCGUUAACUUUUAAUCAGCUAUUGCAGUUCUUAUAAACUAUAGGCCUUCAAAUAUUCGGCUUUAGGUGGUUCAUGCGGAAAUUAAAUCCACAAAUACACUUCGGAGUCCUGGGUUGAGUUCAAU
rnacentral:lncRNA from 1 species